rnacentral:tRNA from 1 species
GGGGGAAGAUACGUGAUGCUCUCUCUGAGACGUGCGUAUCGAUCCUACACCGGCGUGCGAGAGAUCGUACCGUGGGUUCGAAUCCCACCCCCUCCGCCA